rnacentral:rRNA from 1 species
GAUCCUGGCUCAGAUUGAACGCUGGCGGCAGGCCUAACACGUGCAAGUCGAGCGGUAACAUUUCUAGCUUGCUAGAAGAUGACGAGCGGCGGACGGGUGAGUAAUACUUGGGGAUCUGCCUGAUGGCGGGGGACAACCACUGGAAACGGUGGCUAAUACCGCAUAAUGCCUACGGGCCAAAGUGUGGGACCUUCGGGCCACAUGCCAUCAGAUGAACCCAAGCGAGAUUAGCUAGUUGGUGAGGUAACGGCUCACCGAGGCGACGAUCUCUAGCUGCUCUGAGAGGAUGAUCAGCCACACUGGGACUGAGACACGGCCCAGACUCCUACGGGAGGCAGCAGUGGGGAAUAUUGGACAAUGGGCGCAAGCCUGAUCCAGCCAUGCCGCGUGUGUGAAAAGGCCUUCGGGUUGUAAAGCACUUUCAGUGGUGAGGAAGGCGUUGUAGUUAAUAGCUGCAACGAUUGACGUUAGCCACAGAAGAAGCACCGGCUAACUCCGUGCCAGCAGCCGCGGUAAUACGGAGGGUGCGAGCGUUAAUCGGAAUUACUGGGCGUAAAGCGCACGUAGGCGGCUUGUUAAGCAAGAUGUGAAAGCCCAGGGCUCAACCUUGGAAUUGCAUUUUGAACUGGCAAGCUAGAGUUUUGAAGAGGGUGGUAGAAUUUCCAGUGUAGCGGUGAAAUGCGUAGAUAUUGGAAGGAAUACCAGUGGCGAAGGCGGCCACCUGGUCAAAAACUGACGCUGAGGAGCGAAAGCGUGGGGAGC